rnacentral:rRNA from 1 species
AUUGAACGCUGGCGGCAUGCCUUACACAUGCAAGUCGAACGGCAGCACGGGAGCAAUCCUGGUGGCGAGUGGCGAACGGGUGAGUAAUAUAUCGGAACGUGCCCAGUCGUGGGGAUAACGUAGCGAAAGCUACGCUAAUACCGCAUACGAUCUAUGGAUGAAAGCGGGGGAUCGCAAGACCUCGCGCGAUUGGAGCGGCCGAUAUCAGAUUAGGUAGUUGGUGAGGUAAAGGCUCACCAAGCCGACGAUCUGUAGCUGGUCUGAGAGGACGACCAGCCACACUGGGACUGAGACACGGCCCAGACUCCUACGGGAGGCAGCAGUGGGGAAUUUUGGACAAUGGGCGGCCAAGCCCUGAUCCAGCAAUGCCGCGUGCAGGAUGAAGGCC